UUCAUAAUCAAUUAUCUGAUAAUUGAAGCAUUCCCUCGAAUAAGGGUUUAUGUUGCAUUUUUCAGAUAUUGGGAUUUUUGCACAAAAAGGGUCUGUGUAGACAAGUUCAUCCUUUUACAAUAAUAAAUACCCGAUAAUGUGCCGUCAUCUAUGAACAACAU